GAGACUCUUGCGCGUGCAUAUCAAUAAGCGGAGGAAAAGAAACUAACAAGGAUUCCCUUAGUAACGGCGAGUGAAGCGGGAAGAGCUCAAAUUUGAAAUCUUCAAGGUUUUACCUUGACGAAUUGUAGUUUAAAGAAGUGUUUUCUGUUGGAGUUUUGGUAAAAGUUCUUUGGAAUAGGACAUCAUAGAGGGUGAGAAUCCCGUAUUUGACCGUUACUUUCCAGCUGUGUGAUACACUUUCAAAGAGUCGGAUUGUUUGGGAAUGCAGUCCAAAAUGGGUGGUAAAUUUCAUCUAAAGCUAAAUAUUGGCGAGAGACCGAUAGCGAACAAGUACCGUGAGGGAAAGAUGAAAAGAACUUUGAAAAGAGAGUUAAACAGUACGUGAAAUUGUCAAAAGGGAAGCGUUUGACACCAGUGUUGUUUAGUUGAAAAUCAAUUCAAUAGUUUUUGAUUCUAAGUAGUAUUGACUUCAUCAGCUUGCUGCUUUCUUCUCAGAAAUUAUUGAAUGCACUUUUCAGUUAACAAGUCAACAUCAAUUUCUUUUGUUGUAAAAGGGUAAGAGGAAGGUGGCUUGCGCUUCGGCUCAAGUGUUUAUAGCCUUUUAUCUCUGCAAUCGGAGAGAUUGAGGUCUGCAGCGUAGAUCCUUCGGGGUUAGAUACAUUGUGCUAAGCUAUAGCCUUGUAUAGACAACUUGUUGACUAUGCUCAGUCAUGUAGCUUACUCGCUGAUGCUAUUUUACCUACGCUUAGGAUGUUGAAGAUGUAGCACAUCAU
rnacentral:rRNA from 1 species